CCUACGGGAGGCAGCAGUGAGGAAUAUUGGUCAAUGGCCGAGAGGCUGAACCAGCCAAGUCGCGUGAGGGAAGACGGCCCUACGGGUUGUAAACCUCUUUUGUCGGGGAGCAAAGCGAGUCACGUGUGACUCAUUGAGAGUACCCGACGAAAAAGCAUCGGCUAACUCCGUGCCAGCAGCCGCGGUAAUACGGAGGAUGCGAGCGUUAUCCGGAUUUAUUGGGUUUAAAGGGUGCGCAGGCGGAGGUGCAAGUCAGCGGUCAAAUUGCGGGGCUCAACCCCGUCCUGCCGUUGAAACUGCAGCCCUUGAGUGCGCGAGAAGUAUGCGGAAUGCGUGGUGUAGCGGUGAAAUGCAUAGAUAUCACGCAGAACUCCGAUUGCGAAGGCAGCAUACCGGCGCGCAACUGACGCUCAUGCACGAAAGCGUGGGUAUCGAACAGGAUUAGAUACCCUUGUAGUC
rnacentral:rRNA from 1 species